CUGCUGCUGGUGCUCGCGUCCUGCGACGGGAGGGAGCUGAAAGGGAAGGGCGGCGCCGGUGGCGCCGUGGACGAGGUGAAGGACCUGCUGCCCGGCUUGCCGGUGCCGGUGCCGCCUCUGGUGCCCAACCUGCCGCUGCCACCCGUGGUCCCCGGGAUCCCUCCCGCUGCCCACGGCUCCGCCGACAACCACAAGUCUCCAUGAUCAUAUCAUGCCGAUCGAGUUCACGCGCCUCUGCAUAAUGUUUACAGGCUGCGUCCGUAGAUCAGCUUGUCGUUUUAGACUCUUAUUAUAACUAGCUAGCACCGGCCGGAAAAGCAGCACAUCGGCGUCGCAUCGCUCUUGUCCGUGUGCCUUGAUCUGCGCCAACUAUCCCUAUCCGCCAUGUUUCCUCUUAGUUCAUGUGUUUAGUUAUGUCCCUACUUCGUCGUCAAUGUACUACAGUAAUACUUUAUCAGUGUGACUGUCUUUAUGAGUAGACAUAUAUCAAAAUAUUUCAUCAUCGAUAUCAUAGUACGUUGUCGCUGUGAUCACAAAGUCCCAAGCCCAGAGUUGUGGGAUCCGUUUGUACUUCAACAUCGAUAAUACCACAUUCACGGGCAAGUUCCAAUGGACUUUCACGGGGUGGAGAACCUGCGCUAAUCUGAUUGCCCCCCGAUUUUAAGUGGCGAGGCCGUCCAAAUAAACUAAAAUCACAGCCAUUAAUUUUCAGUUAGCCCGUAGAGCCCCCGUAAAGUCCCCCGUGUGUGUAGCAUUACUCCUUCAACAUGAGCUUUGCUACAUCUAAGUGCCAUUUGUUACAGAAAGGAGGUUACGGGCUGACAUGGCCGAGUUAAAAUCAGAGGAUGGGGUCAGGUAAAAUCAAGGAGGGGUGGAUUUGUGGUGGAGAGGAGGAUACAUCUCCUCGUGAAAUCAGUCGUUAGCACUUUGUCCGUAAGUGUAGGAUAUACACAUCAUGAAGCACCGGCAAGGCAAUGUAACCAAAUCAUACGAUGAUAAUAAUAUCUCACAGCAUCAAGGGAUCAGGUGCAGAUAUAGGGUGUACGCGCAUACAUCUUAAGCAACCGCGACUAAAGGGUGGGGCCUUUAGUCGCGCCCGUUCGGUCGCGGUUGCGCAACCGC
rnacentral:lncRNA from 1 species